rnacentral:lncRNA from 13 species
CUAUAGUGCCUAUGGCUGACUCAAGAAAUUUAAAAAGUAAGAAUGAAGAGGAAUAGUGAAUAUUUGGUGCAACGUGGAAGGAGAAUAUUGAAGUGGGAACAUUCAACAGCUCUUUAGGAAGAAAGAGAAAAUUGUAGCUCUACCUCUUGUUUUACAUCUCUAGGCAAGUUCUUUAAUUUUUCUAGAUGUAAGUAUCCUUAUGUGUAAUCUGCCUGCUCCACAAGGUUAUUGUAAGAAAUACAUAAAAUAAAGCAACUGAAAACAGUGCACAAUAAAUGAAGCUAUUAUGAUGAAGGCAAAAUAUCAAGAGUAUAAUAUUCCCUUUCAUUUGGAAUUUAGAGGUGGAAACCUAUGUUUUUAACAGUCAGAUAAAGAGUUAAACUUUGGAAGCAACUGACAGUAAUCAAUAAGGUAAAAUAAGACCUAAGAGAAUUUUCAACCCCCAUGGGCCUCAUUAUGAGAUAAGAAUGCUACAUGCUUCUCACAUAAGCCUAGAAAGAUAUUUGAAGCUCACUUGUCAGCAUGGAGAGACAUCCAGAGUAAUUACUGAAAACAAAUGAUGCUUUUGCAAAUCUGAGAUGUUUCCAGAUGUUUUGACAGUGGAGGAAAUGCCUAGAAGCAGACCAGAAUCAAUUGUGUCUCCAGGAAACACCACUUCCCAUAUUUGUUGGGAAAUAUCAUUUCAAGACCACAAUCAAGUCUCUACUGAUGUUCAUUGCUUUUGGAUUUAUCAUUGUUUCUAGGCACUUUCUGUGUAUAGAAUUAGGAUAUAAACAUACUUCACAAAGUACCUCAUGUGUUCUUACUGAUAUAUCUAGUUGAAAUUUGCAACUAUAGGAUUUUUACUUAACCUAGUCUGUAUUACACUCCUGUUUCCUUUUAAUAGUCUAAGAAUUCUUACAAGACAUAGGAAAUGUUACAAUUAAAAAUUUUAGGCUGGGCACAGUGGCUCAUACCUGUAAUCCCUGCACUUAGGGAGGGUGAGGCGGGUGGAUUACUUGAGGUCAGGAGUUUGAGACAAGCCUGGCCAACAUGGGGAAACCCUGUCUCUACUAAAAAUACAAAAAAUAGCUAGGUGAGGUGGCACGCACCUGUAAUCCCAGGUCUCAGGAGGCUGAGGCAGGAGAAUUGUUUGAACCCAGAAGGCAAAGGUUGCAGUGAGCUGAGAUGUUGCCACUGCACUCCAGCCUGGUCCAUGGAGCAAGACUCCAUCUCAAAAAAAAAAAAAAAAAAGGCCGAGGCGGGCAGAUCACAAGGUUAGGAGAUCGACACCAUCCUGCUGACUAACAUAAUGAAACCCUGUCUCCACUAAAAAUACAAAAAAUUAGCCUGGGGUGGUGUUGCACACCUGUAAUCCCAGCGAAUCGGGAGGCUGAGGCAGGAGAAUCACUUGGACCCAGGAGUAGGAGGUUGCAGUGAGCCGAGAUCACACCACUGCACUCCAGCCUGGGCGACAGAGUGAGACUCCGUCUCAAAACAAAACAAAACAAACAAAAAUCAUAAUUAGUCAUUUGUUUUAUUCCAUGCGAAACAGUUCCAUAACGAUACUACCACUAAUUAGCAUUACAGAAAACAGCUAAAACUUUUUAAUAUGCCACCCUACUCUCUCC